rnacentral:misc_RNA from 1 species
UUUUGGAGAAAAUCAGAUAGUUAUUUAUUAAAAAUUAUGUUAUCAAUUAUCAACACUGCAAGAUCAAAAACUCUAAUAUGUUGAAAAAAGAAAAAAGCUGCUACUCAUAUAACCAUAAGCUGAGGAUAUCCUAACGCUGGAUGGGGAGACAAUGGAGACAACGGCAUUGUCCCUUUCAAAUCAACACAAUCCCAAACCGCCGUCCAGCUCGACGGCGUCAACGCAACAUCCCUCUCCGCUUCUUCUAGCUUCACCACCUUCUUCGUUUCUCCCUCUACAAUCUCGCUUUCUCUGGGUCGUUUCCGUUCGUUUCUGUCGUUGACGCAUGUGUUCAACUUCCCAGCUUCCAAAGGAAAGUUGAGAAUGGCCUUGGAGCCGCGCAGCUUGAACGCUGCUCGAUCGUAGGCUUUGGCGGCUUCGAUAGCCGUGUCGAAGGUCCCAAGCCAUACACGUGAGCCCUUCCGGUUCGGAUCUCGGAUCUCCGCUGCAUAUUUGCCCCACGGCCUCUGUCGGACUCCUCUAUAAUGCCUUUUCUCUUCAACAGCUAAGUUGAUUUGGUCCGAUUGUUGGUUCGGGUUAGCAAAUUGAAUCCAUUCGGUUUUUUUAGGGACUGAAAUUUUCAGAGAUGGCUUUCGAUUUACUUGAGAGCUUGAAUUUGCAGAAGCUACUUGAGGCUUUGAUUCGAAGUUGAAGAAAUCAUCAUUGGGUUGAGAAAGCGGUUUUGAUUCAAAUACGAAAUUCUCUAGAACUUGGAUUUGAGGUUUUGAUUCAAAGUCGAAGAACUCGUUACUUGGUUGAGAGAAAAGUUGAGGUUUUGAAUCAAAUUCAAAACUGGAGGUUGAAUCACUGGAUUUUGCGGUAGUGAGAGGGAUGAUUUGAGGUUUAGCUUCGAAUUCAAAAAAAUCAUCAUCAAUAUUGUCAAAGUUAAAGUAAUCAUCGAUUGAGAAGGCAGAGUCAGAGCUGGAAGCCCGGGAGCAGUCAGACACAGACUGAGA